rnacentral:rRNA from 1 species
UACGAAGGGUCCAAGCGUUAUCCGGAUUUAUUGGGUUUAAAGGGUGCGUAGGCGGGUUGUUAAGUCAGUGGUGAAAGCCUGUUGCUUAACAACAGAACUGCCAUUGAUACUGUCAAUCUUGAGUACAUUUGAUGUGGGCGGAAUGUGUCAUGUAGCGGUGAAAUGCUUAGAUAUGACACAGAACACCGAUUGCGAAGGCAGCUCACAAAACUGUAACUGACGCUGAGGCACGAAAGCGUGGGUAUCAAACAGG